rnacentral:rRNA from 1 species
UACGGGGGGGGGCAAGCGUUGUUCGGAAUUACUGGGCGUAAAGGGCUCGUAGGUGGCCAACUAAGUCAGACGUGAAAUCCCUCGGCUUAACCGGGGAACUGCGUCUGAUACUGGAUGGCUUGAGUUUGGGAGAGGGACGCGGAAUUCCAGGUGUAGCGGUGAAAUGCGUAGAUAUCUGGAGGAACACCGGUGGCGAAGGCGGCAUCCUGGACCAACACUGACGCUGAUGAGCGAAAGCCAGGGGAGCAAACGGG